rnacentral:snoRNA from 1 species
UUGCGCUGCUAAAGCCGCCUGUGCUUUAGAACAGUUAACACAGGGGGGUAGAGGAUGCCUCUCACUCAAACCUGGGGCAGGGCUGAUAAACUCUCUGCUUUCGGAUCCUGUCGUGAGAAACAGUU